rnacentral:rRNA from 1 species
GUGGGGAAUCUUAGACAAUGGGCGCAAGCCUGAUCUAGCCAUGCCGCGUGAGCGAUGAAGGCCUUAGGGUUGUAAAGCUCUUUCGUGGGGGAAGAUAAUGACUGUACCCCAAGAAGAAGCCCCGGCUAACUCCGUGCCAGCAGCCGCGGUAAUACGGAGGGGGCUAGCGUUGUUCGGAAUUACUGGGCGUAAAGCGCACGUAGGCGGACUGGAAAGUCAGGGGUGAAAUCCCGGGGCUCAACCCCGGAACUGCCUUUGAAACUCCCAGUCUUGAGUUCGAGAGAGGUGAGUGGAAUUCCGAGUGUAGAGGUGAAAUUCGUAGAUAUUCGGAGGAACACCAGUGGCGAAGGCGACUUACUGGGCCGUAACUGACGCUGAGGCGCGAAAGCGUGGGGAGCGAACAGGAUUAGAUACCCCGGUAGUCC